rnacentral:rRNA from 1 species
GUGCCAGCAGCCGCGGUAAUACAGAGACUGCGAGCGUUAUUCGGAUUCACUGGGCGUAAAGCGCGCGCAGGCGGCGAUCUACGUCCGGGGUGAAAGCCCAGAGCUCAACUCUGGGACUGCCUUGGAUACGGGAUCGCUUGAGGAUCGGAGAGGCAAGGGGAAUUCCACGUGUAGCGGUGAAAUGCGUAGAGAUGUGGAGGAACACCUGUGGCGAAGGCGCCUUGCUGGCCGAUUUCUGACGCUGAGGCGCGAAAGCGUGGGGAGCAAACAGGAUUAGAUACCCUGGUAGUCCACGCCGUAAACGAUGAGUGCUAGGUGUUGGGGGGUACCACCCUCAGUGCCGAAGCUAACGCAUUAAGCACUCCGCCUGGGGAGUACGGGCGCAAGACUGAAACUCAAAGGAAUUGACGG